rnacentral:misc_RNA from 1 species
GAUGAAGAACGUAGCGAAAUGCGAUAAGUAGUGUGAAUUGCAGAAUUCGGUGAAUCAUCGAGUCUUUGAACGCACAUUGCGCCCCCUGGUAUUCCGGGGGGCAUGCCUGUCCGAGCGUCAUUGCUGCCCUCAAGCACGGCUUGUGUGUUGGGCCUCCGUCCUCCUCCCGGGGGACGGGCCCGAAAGGCAGCGGCGGCACCGCGUCCGGUCCUCGAGCGUAUGGGGCUUCGUCACCCGCUCUUGUAGGCCCGGCCGGCGCUUGCCGACACAUCAAUCUUUUUUCCAGGUUGACCUCGGAUCAGGUAGGGAUACCCGCUGAACUUAAGCAUAUCAAUAAGCGGAGGA